AAAGAGGUUUGAUAAUUGUAUUAUUUAAAUGUUAAUAAGUGUAUUUAGCUAUUUUUAGUUGUUGCAUCCUUGAAUCCAGCUCAAAUCUGUUGAGUAUAUUAUGAAGUUCUACUUCCUAUAGCCAUUUUCCAAGUUGCCCGACACAAAAAUAUAUGAGUGGCCGAUUAAUCUGAGUAGACAUGACCUUUCUUUUUCUUUUAGAUACUAUUACUGAUAUGCAUGUGUAGUAAAAAGUUUCCGUAUAUGAUCAUAAAAUUUAAAUCCAGAUCAUAUAUGUUUUUCUGUGUAACUUAAUAGGCAAUGUGUGCAAGAAGGGAAAAAAUGGAAGUCGAACCAAGUAUUGGAAGGGAUGUGAAACGAUGGCAUGUGUUACGUAGGAAGAUUCAUUAAUGCAUCAGGAGAUCAUCACUAUGAAGCGACAAGGAACAAUAAAGUCGAUAGUUCCUGAUAAGCGCAUCAGUGACUAAUACAAGAGCAUCAAUAUGAAGAUACUCUUAGGAAUAUGUAAUGCUUGAUGAUACAAAGUUAUUUUAUUCUUACUUAGAAUAAUAUUUCAAUGUAGCUGAUCAAUGGCUAGCAUGCUAAGGCAGUAGAAAGUGAUCAAAUUCACCCAUCAACGGAUAAUGUGGUACUGUAACAAAGCAGGAGUAUCGUAGCAGUUGAUAUGUUAAUAAUGUAUACUUUUAGAUUAGCAGUUAAGCUAUCAAUGGAUGAGUAGAUAGG
rnacentral:lncRNA from 1 species